rnacentral:rRNA from 1 species
UACGUAGGGGGCAAGCGUUGUCCGGAUUUAUUGGGCGUAAAGAGCGUGUAGGCGGCCUGGUAGGUCAGCUGUGAAAACUCGAGGCUCAACCUCGAGACGUCGGUUGAAACCACCUGGCUAGAGUCCGGAAGAGGAGAGUGGAAUUCCCGGUGUAGCGGUGAAAUGCGCAGAUAUCAGGAGGAACACCGAUGGCGAAGGCAGGUCUCUGGGCCACUACUGACGCUGAGAAGCGAAAGCAUGGGGAGCGAACAGG